rnacentral:rRNA from 1 species
UACAGAGGGGGCAAGCGUUAUUCGGAAUUAUUGGGCGUAAAGGGUGCGUAGGCGGUUUUUUAAGUCAGAUGUGUAAUCCCCGAGCUCAACUUGGGAACUGCAUCUGAAACUGGAAGACUAGAGUGCUGGAGAGGAUGGUGGAAUUCCACGUGUAGCGGUGAAAUGCGUAGAGAUGUGGAGGAACACCAGUGGCGAAGGCGGCCAUCUGGACAGUAACUGACGCUGAAGCACGAAAGUGUGGGUAGCAAACAGGAUUAGAUACCCUGGUAGUCCACACCGUAAACGAUGAACACUUGGUGUAGUGGGCGUUGACCCCCACUGUGCCGUAGCUAACGCGAUAAGUGUUCCGCCUGGGGAGUACGGUCGCAAGGCUG